rnacentral:rRNA from 1 species
CAGUAGCCACGGGAAUACGUAGGUGGCAAGCGUUGUCCGGAAUUAUUGGGCGUAAAGGGCUCGCGGGCGGUUUCUUAAGUCUGAUGUGAAAGCCCCCGGCUCAACCGGGGAGGGUCAUUGGAAACUGGGAAACUUGAGUGCAGAAGAGGAGAGUGGAAUUCCACGUGUAGCGGUGAAAUGCGUAGAGAUGUGGAGGAACACCAGUGGCGAAGGCGACUCUCUGGUCCGUAACUGACGCCGAGGAGCGAAAGCGUGGGGAGCGAACAGGAUUAGAUACCCGCGUAGUCCCUGUCUCUUAUAC